AUCUCUUCGCUGUCUUUCUCUGGGUUGACCUGGGCUGAAACUGCACAAGAAUACAGUUUCCAGAUAUGCCUUUGCCACUCUUAAGAUGCUCUGCCCUGCUUUGGUCAGGAAGCACUAUUUUGAGGGGGAAGGAACUCUGUUUGAAAGUCACACAAUUCUUUCAUUCUUCAGUGAUGGAUCAACCAUCUUGGAAAACAAGAGUGACUCAGAAAACUGUCAACCACCAUGGACUUCCCCCCGCCCCCGCCCCGCAGAGGACUGUGGGUCUCUGGAUGGCAUGCGUGGAAU